UCUCACAUUUAGUGAGAAACUCUAUGCGCUAGGGGUAUAGAAUUAUUGUAUGAAACUAAAGUCAUGGCAGAAUCCUUCUCUGGUCAUGGCUAGUAGAGUGUACUAGAAUACGGUUGAGUGCGACGAGCGGGUGGGUGGCGCAUGCUUUGCAGCGAGGCCAGUGAGGCGCGCGACGACGAAAAAUACUAUGGCAGCGCUGCGAUCGAAGUGGAUUGGGUCGCAUCAAGGUUAGGGUCCUAUCAAGGUCGCGCCGUUGGAAACGGCCGUGUCUGCUGUGCCCGGGGCACAGCAGACGAAAGGUGCCCGAAAUGUCUACGUUCACCCAUGACGUCACGUCCGCUAUAACCCAUGAUGUCACAUCCGCUCAUUUCCAUGGCGUCUGUCUUGCGGAGCCGGCUGCGCUGCGAAGCGGUUCGUAUUCCGUGCCCACUUAGAGCACUGAACAUCCCACGUCUUGGUUUGACUUCCUGGUACGGGAUACUUGCACUUAGCAUGGAGUGAUGAAGCAGAGCAGUGUACUUUUAUUAAAUGUGCAGAUUUUAGCAGUAUAACAGCCGUUCAUUAAAAAAACAUGUGUGCUGAAAAUAAAGUGUUCUUACCCACA